UACGUAGGUGGCAAGCGUUAUCCGGAUUUAUUGGGCGUAAAGGGAACGCAGGCGGUCUUUUAAGUCUGAUGUGAAAGCCUUCGGCUUAACCGGAGUAGUGCAUUGGAAACUGGGAGACUUGAGUGCAGAAGAGGAGAGUGGAACUCCAUGUGUAGCGGUGAAAUGCGUAGAUAUAUGGAAGAACACCAGUGGCGAAAGCGGCUCUCUGGUCUGUAACUGACGCUGAGGUUCGAAAGCGUG
rnacentral:rRNA from 1 species